rnacentral:rRNA from 1 species
UACAGAGGUCCCGAGCGUUGUUCGGAUUCACUGGGCGUAAAGGGUGCGUAGGUGGCGAGGUAAGUUUGAUGUGAAAUCUCCGGGCUUAACCCGGAAACUGCAUUGAAUACUAUUUUGCUCGAGGUUUGGAGGGGGGACUGGAAUUCUCGGUGUAGCAGUGAAAUGCGUAGAUAUCGAGAGGAACACCAGUGGCGAAGGCGAGUCCCUGGACAACACCUGACACUGAGGCACGAAAGCUAGGGGAGCAAACAGG